rnacentral:rRNA from 1 species
UGCAAGCCGAGCGGUAGAGAUUCUUCGGAAUCUUGAGAGCGGCGUACGGGUGCGGAACACGUGUGCAACCUGCCUUUAUCAAGGGGAUAGCCUUUCGAAAGGAAGAUUAAUACCCUAUAAUAUAUGAUUCGGCAUCGGAUUAUAUUGAAAACUACGGUGGAUAAAGAUGGGCACGCGCAAGAUUAGCUAGUUGGUGAGGUAACGGCUCACCAAGGCGACGAUCUUUAGGGGGCCUGAGAGGGUGAUCCCCCACACUGGUACUGAGACACGGACCAGACUCCUACGGGAGGCAGCAGUGAGGAAUAUUGGACAAUGGGUGGAAGCCUGAUCCAGCCAUCCCGCGUGUAGGAAGACGGCCCUAUGGGUUGUAAACUACUUUUAUCUGGGGAUAAACCUACUUACGUGUAAGUAGCUGAAGGUACCAGAUGAAUAAGCACCGGCUAACUCCGUGCCAGCAGCCGCGGUAAUACGGAGGGUGCAAGCGUUAUCCGGAUUUAUUGGGUUUAAAGGGUCCGUAGGCGGACUGAUAAGUCAGUGGUGAAAUCCGACAGCUUAACUGUCGAACUGCCAUUGAUACUGUUAGUCUUGAGUAAGGUUGAAGUGGCUGGAAUAAGUAGUGUAGCGGUGAAAUGCAUAGAUAUUACUUAGAACACCAAUUGCGAAGGCAGGUCACUAAGUCUUAACUGACGCUGAUGGACGAAAGCGUGGGG